UACCCGCAGCUCAAGUGGUGGUCAUUAUUAUUGGGCCUAAAGCGUCCGUAGCUGGCUUGUUAGAUGCCUGGGUAAAUCGAUGCGCUUAACGCAUCGAAUUCCGGGUAGACCGGCAAGCUCGAGACCGGGAGAGGUGUAGGCUACUCGAGGGGUAGGGGUAAAAUCCUGUAAUCCUUCGGGGAGGACCAGUGGCGAAGGCGCUACACUAGAACGGCCCUGACAGUGAGGGACGAAGCCCUGGGGCGCAAACCGG
rnacentral:rRNA from 1 species